UUCUAAGGAAAUAGUGAAUAUACAUAACACACAAGUAUGAUAUGCAUGCACACACAUUAGUAAAGCCUAGAAAGAUAAGUGGGAAAGAAAAAUAAAAAUAAAAAAAAAAAUAAAAAAAGACAAAAAAAAAAAACUUCUUGUGGAAACUGUUACCAACCAUAGCACCCAUGAGUCACAAACAAGGGAAUUUAAUUUAACACUGAAGUGACACGGGGCAUGGAAAUAAAAUAUUAGUAUCUGGAAGUUUAUCUUUGUGACUUCCUGAAUCGGCCUAGGGUUGCAAAAAGAAAGAAAGUUUUGAAAGGGAAAAUACAGGGGAAAAGAAGGUGAAGUCGUGUGGGAAAGAAAGAGGGAUAAGGGAGAAAAAGGAAAGGGAGUUCUCCAUUCAGGUUCAGGCCUGGAAAAGGAGCUGACAACUUCGACCAUACCAAAUGAUAAGUGAACAAAGUGGGGGCGUAGCCAAGGUAUCAGGUUGGGUUGCUACUGCCAAGUCUAGAGUCUUGUGUGUGAAUGGGGAAAAGAACCAUGGAACGUCUUUUGUAUAAAAUGUAAAUAUUGUAGUAGAACUUAAUAUUAUGACUUGAAGUUACUUGUUUAGUUUUCUUAGAACUUGCGAGGUGGAUUUAUAAUUUAUCUUUAAUUGUAAACUGUUAAGCAGGUACUCUGAUGUAGGAUGAUGUCAUGUAUGAAUGAGGUUAAUGCAGAUGGUUGGAUGCAUUCCAAUUUGUUUA